GAUGAACGCUGGCGGCGUGCCUAAUACAUGCAAGUCGAGCGAACAGAUAAGGAGCUUGCUCCUUUGACGUUAGCGGCGGACGGGUGAGUAAAACGUGGAUAACCUACCUAUAAGACUGGGAUAACUUCGGGAAACCGGAGCUAAUACCGGAUAACAUAUUGAACCGCAUGGUUCAAUAGUGAAAGGCGGCUUUGCUGUCACUUAUAGAUGGAUCCGCGCCGUAUUAGCUAGUUGGUAAGGUAACGGCUUACCAAGGCAACGAUACGUAGCCGACCUGAGAGGGUGAUCGGCCACACUGGAACUGAGACACGGUCCAGACUCCUACGGGAGGCAGCAGUAGGGAAUCUUCCGCAAUGGGCGAAAGCCUGACGGAGCAACGCCGCGUGAGUGAUGAAGGUCUUCGGAUCGUAAAACUCUGUUAUCAGGGAAGAACAAAUGUGUAAGUAACUGUGCACAUCUUGACGGUACCUGAUCAGAAAGCCACGGCUAACUACGUG
rnacentral:rRNA from 1 species